rnacentral:rRNA from 1 species
UGGGGAAUAUUGGACAAUGGGCGCAAGCCUGAUCCAGCCAUGCCGCGUGUGUGAAGAAGGCCUUUUGGUUGUAAAGCACUUUAAGCGAGGAGGAGGCUACUUGGAUUAAUACUCUAGGAUAGUGGACGUUACUCGCAGAAUAAGCACCGGCUAACUCUGUGCCAGCAGCCGCGGUAAUACAGAGGGUGCGAGCGUUAAUCGGAUUUACUGGGCGUAAAGCGUGCGUAGGCGGCUUCUUAAGUCGGAUGUGAAAUCCCUGAGCUUAACUUAGGAAUUGCAUUCGAUACUGGGAAGCUAGAGUAUGGGAGAGGAUGGUAGAAUUACAGGUGUAGCGGUGAAAUGCGUAGAGAUCUGGAGGAAUACCGAUGGCGAAGGCAGCCAUCUGGCCUAAUACUGACGCUGAGGUACGAAAGCAUGGGGAGCAAACAGG